rnacentral:lncRNA from 1 species
GGGGUUUUGGGGUUUUUUUUCCUUUACAAGGGUCCAGAAGCCGGAGGUUUCGGCCCAGGAGAGGAAGCCGCGGGGCGGGGAGCGGCCGCGCUGCGGGCUUUGCCGCGGAGCGGGGCGGGCGGCCUGCGCCCUCCCGGGGGACUCUUUGGGAACCGCAGCAGAGACUAACCGAGACGGGGUGCCAAAAAAAAAAAAACUUGCCUAAAAACAAAAAAUAAGUGUGCUGGGCACUCCGCUGCCUGGGCGGGGAGGAGACGUCUGCAGAGAAGUUUGAGUUUUCCAGCACCAAGCACAGUGUGGACACUGCAAGAAAAAGAUACCAAAUAAGAGAUCCAGUCCUUGCAGCAAGAAAUGGAUACACGCUUCAAGAUGAUGCAUUAAACAUUCCUGAGGAAAAGUACAGUGAUGGCUCCCAGUACGCUUUGUGCGUCUUCCAGAGGGUGUCAGAUCUCCAAACCAACCUGUAACUGAAGACAGGAGACCUGGUGGGGGAGAGCUCUGUCUGUAACCAGACUGUGCAGGCAGCGUCUCCUUGCAGAAAGUGAGCUCACAAGGACUUUCAUCUGUAAUUGCUGAACC